rnacentral:other from 1 species
UAUCUCCUGGAGUGUUCGAGAGCUGGUUAAGUCCCUCGAGCCUAUAUCCUUCUAAACGGGGACGAAAUUUAGUGUUGUGUGCAUGUCCGCUUGACGGAAAGCCUAAUAUGUUAAAUGACGUUCCCUCUCUGAACCUCACGGUUCAGGGCCAGAACCAGUAAACGGCACUCUGGGGGAUCA